rnacentral:pre_miRNA from 1 species
AAUUUCCGGUGGGACUUCACUACGUAGUACAUAUAGCAUCGUCCAGAAGAAAAGAAGGACGAUGCUAUAUGUACUACGUAGUGAAGUCCCACCGGAAAU